GCCGGGGCGGGGCCGCGCCGGGCGGGCGCGCGGGAGCUGCGGAGGGAGGGUGUCGCGCCGAGGGAAGCGGCCCGCGGCGGAGGGAGGGAAGGCCGAGUCCUGGAAGCGGAGCUCCGCGCUGGGACUGGUUCCUUCGCAGCCAUUUUCUGUCCAACCAAACAGCCGAUUGGAGACGGGAGCCAACCAGGGCUGCAUUGGAGGUUGAAAUUGGCAAAGAUCAGACACCUUUUUAGACAGGUGUUCUGGAGUAGCACUGACAACACGGUUCACCCAGUAUUUCAUGACAGUCUUUACAUCUAAGUCCUCUGCUCACCCAUCUUACCAGUAAGUAGCAGGUGAUCUGAUUCCAGAACCUAUGCCUUGGAAAUAAGAAUAGGCUGCACUCUGUACCCCUCCCUCCCCCACCCCCCAGUGUAUGUAACAUUCGUCUUCUCUGCAAGUGGAGGACAGAGACCUUGUCUUUGCUGUUGACCUGUGAUGUUAGCACAUAGCACAAACCUAAUAAAUAGGAAGUGCUUACUCA
rnacentral:lncRNA from 1 species